rnacentral:rRNA from 1 species
GACGAACGCUGGCGGCGUGCCUAAUACAUGCAAGUAGAACGCGCAAGGAGGAUCUUUCUUCUCUGGAUGAGUUGCGCACGGGUGAGUAACGCGUAGGUAACCUGCCUGGUAGCGGGGGAUAACUAUUGGAAACGAUAGCUAAUACCGCAUAACAGUAGAUGUCGCAUGUUAUCUACUUGAAAUGUGCAAUUGCAUCACUACUAGAUGGACCUGCGUUGUAUUAGCUAGUUGGUGAGGUAACGGCUCACAAAGGCGACGAUACAUAGCCGACCUGCUAGGGUGCUCGGACAAGCUGGGACGGGGACACGGCCCAGAAUCCUACGGGAGGCAGCAGUAGGGGAUUCUUGGCAAUGGAAGGAAGUCUGAACGAGGGACGCCGCGGGAGUGAAGAAGGUUGUCGGGUCGUAAAGCUCAGUUGUACGAGAAGAACGAGUGUGAGAGUGGAAAGUUCACACUGUGACGGUAUCUUAACAGAAAGGGACGGCUAACUACGUG